rnacentral:rRNA from 1 species
AGGGUUCGAUUCUGGCUCAGGACGAACGCUGGCGGCGUGCCUAACACAUGCAAGUCGAACGAAGACCAUAGAGGAGCUUGCUUUAAUAUGGUUUUAGUGGCGGACGGGUGAGUAACGCGUGAGGACUUGUCGAGUACAGGGGGACAACAGGUGGAAACGUCUGCUAAUACCCCCAUAAGCCUUCGGGUAAAAGGAGCGAUCCGGUACACGAGAGACUCGCGUUCUAUCAGCUAGUAGGUGGGGUAACGGCCCACCCAGGCCAAGACGGAUAGCCGGACUGAGAGGUCGAUCGGCCACACUGGAACUGAGACACGGUCCAGACUCCUACGGGAGGCAGCAGUGGGGAAUAUUGGGCAAUGGGGGAAACCCUGACCCAGCGACGCCGCGUGAGUGAAGAAAUCCCUCGGGAUGUAAAACUCUGUUGUGUGGGAAGAUAAUGACGGUACCACACGAGGAAGCCCCGGCAAACUACGUGCCAGCAGCCGC